AAGUGUGUCAAUACUGGCUUGUCAAAACCUGAAUCUCAUUGAUGUUAGAAGCUAAGCAAGACCAGGUCUGGUUAGUACUUGGAUGGGAGGCUGGUAGGAAUACCAGGUAGCGCAGUAG
rnacentral:rRNA from 1 species